rnacentral:rRNA from 1 species
GUGGGGAAUAUUGGACAAUGGGCGAAAGCCUGAUCCAGCCAUGCCGCGUGUGUGAAGAAGGUCUUCGGAUUGUAAAGCACUUUAAGUUGGGAGGAAGGGCAGUAAGUUAAUACCUUGCUGUUUUGACGUUACCGACAGAAUAAGCACCGGCUAACUUCGUGCCAGCAGCCGCGGUAAUACGAAGGGUGCAAGCGUUAAUCGGAAUUACUGGGCGUAAAGCGCGCGUAUGUGGUUUUGUAAGUUGGAGGUGAAAUCCCCGGGCUCAACCUGGGAACUGCCUCCAAAACUGCAUGACUAGAGUACGGUAGAGGGUAGUGGAAUUUCCUGUGUAGCGGUGAAAUGCGUAGAUAUAGGAAGGAACACCAGUGGCGAAGGCGACUACCUGGACUGAUACUGACACUGAGGUGCGAAAGCGUGGGGAGCAAACAGGAUUAGAAACCCGGGUAGUCC